UACGAAGGUGGCAAGCGUUGUUCGGAUUUACUGGGCGUACAGGGAGCGUAGGCGGUUGGAUAAGCCCUCCGUGAAAUCUCCAGGCUUAACCUGGAAAGUGCAGAGGGGACUGUUCAGCUAGAGGAUGGGAGAGGAGCGCGGAAUUCCUGGUGUAGCGGUGGAAUGCGCAGAUAUCAGGAGGAACACCAAUAGCGAAGGCAGCUCGCUGGGACGUACUGACACUGAGGCGCGAAAGCGUGGGGAGCGAACAGG
rnacentral:rRNA from 1 species